CAUCAUUUUAUUUCACCAAAUUUCCCCUAUCCAAGUGUCAAGGGUUUUUUGUAUUAUCAACUUACCAAUAUUAUUCGGAUAUAUAACUGGCAGGGUGCCAUCCUUUUGAUAUCUGGGCGGCGGCAUAUCCGAGCCCUCGACGAGAUACGUGGACGCCGCCUUUUUGCGCGCCUCGUCCUGCGGAUAAGGAGGGAUAGGAGCUGAGUUAAGAGCGGCAGAUGCGACAUGGCGGGCGUUGAAAGUCGUUGGCGCGUAAUUGACAGCCACAAUGACAGCGGCGACACACGGACGCGAGGACAACCAGGACAGACGGGACGACAAGGACGAGGCCCAAGGACACCCGGGAUCGGAUCGGGGCUGAUUUAUAACACGCGCGGUCGCAGUUUACGCACUUUACAUACUUUUACUCCGGCUUCUGCGGGUUAGGCAGUUGCUGCGGUUUUCCUGCCGCUGCAAGAUUACGCCGAUAAUAAAUGAUUUUAAUAAUUUGAAA